CAGGCAAGUGAGCGGAAAAAAUGUCCGACCGAAGCUUGCCACGCUCUAUCCCUCCCAAACCCUACUUCCUCUCCCAUCCAACUCUUCCUGGCGGCGGCUAUCGGGCGUAGCACAACGAGCGGGCAGCUGGCGGCGGGGAGCGGCGACCUCCUGUGUGGUGGUGGAGAGAGCAUGGGCAGCUGAGUCGGCUCUCUGUGCCAGCACAGCCGCCGCACGCCGGUGCGGAGAACCGCUGGGGCAGAUCUCGGCGGCGGCACCGAGAAGCCCAUCUCUGUACAACGGGCAGUGUGUCGGCCUCUUCUCCUCCAAGAUGCUGCUGCCGCCGGUAUGGAUGGCCGCCACGCGCCACUCCGGCUCCUCGGCCGCGUCCUCCGAUGGCGAAGAAGAGAGCAUGGCCUCGUGGGGGAUCACCGAGGAUUCCGGCAACAACCCGUCUCUGUACAACCGGCCGCGCGUCGGCCUCUUCUCCGCCAAGAGCCUACCUCCAUCUGUAUGAACAACCGCCUCGGAUCCUCGACCGCCGCUCCGUGGUGCGACCCGUGGCCGCCUUUGCCAGGAAGUGCUCCCGUCUUCAAGAUCCUCCCGUGGACUACAACUGGUAUGCAAUGAUGCUUCUCUAGCUUUCUGCUGGAUAUUUUGCUCUGAAAAUUAGCGAUAACUCAAUUCUGUUGGCUAAUAUUUCCAUGUGUAUACAUUCUUCAUAAUUAGACGUUUGUAUAGAUGCUCAGUUCUUAUGACAAAAUUAAGAAUCUACUUUAUACAGGAACGCCUGGACAUUUGGGGCAGUACAUACUAAUAAAAUAAGUUGUUCCGAUUGCAAGACAUCAUUGCUAAAUUGUGGACAGUGUGACUCUACUUUCGUUUAUAAACUGCAGACAGGCUAUCCAAGCUGAAAAGGAAGGUACCUAGGCUAUUAAUUUUCACCAAAUGCAGUGGGGAUAUAAGAUCUUGCUUUGGAUUUCUAAAAAAUUCUUACACCAGCAGCGACAACGACAGCAUUGAUGUUCAUGGAUACUGAAGAUAAUCCGUCAUUGAUCCCUUUAUCCCACAUUCAAAAAAAAAUCCAAGGAAAAUAUUUCUCUCAAAUAUUGUAUCUCAUAUCUCAUCUCUUCAGAUUGUGUGCAUGGCGGCAAAAUGAAACGUGGCGGGCGGAUGUUCGUGACUUCUUCUCACACCUCAGAUAUUCAAUCUGCCUCCAAGUUUAUCUGCUUGCUUUUCUCUGUUCAGUUGGAACCUGUUCUUUGGGGUAUCAGGACGGCAUAUGGCUAGCCCGUCCUUAUUUUAUAUAACGAGCUGGCAGAAAGAUCGGCAAGGGAAAGCUUCUAUUUCCUGGGUGAAUUAUUUAUAUUCGGUGAAGGGACUCUUGGAUGGUUUUCAGAUGCCACGAGUUGCAUGAAUGUGAUGCAAGUAUCAGCAUCGGCUGCUUACGUUUUCAACAUGCAUCUUCCUACUAGCGUUCACUUUGGUGACUAUCCGGAUGUCUAUCUAAUCAAGAGGCCGGCCCAGAUGCAAGCCAUGACACGGCAUGGCGCUGCAGUUGACCCUAGAGUGCACGAUCUGUUCCAGGCUUUGAAGAUUGUCACCAUCUGUGAUGGGCGACGUGCUGAAUUCUGGGACACCCACUGGAUUAAUGGGCGCCGGCCUUCAGAACUCUGGCUUGUGCUCUGGAGCCAUUCCACUUGUCGAAAUCUUACUAUGUGUGCGGCCAGCACUGGCAACUUAUGGCUCCGGUAUGUCAAAGGCUAACCCACCUGUGAUGGUUCUCUGCAACCUCAGCGAGCUUUGGCAGCACACUCAGCUCCUCAUGCUGGUCGACGGCGAGGGCGACCGUGAUUUCCUCACCUGGUGUGGUGGUGCAUCCAGCAUAACCCUUUGCUGCCUACUGUGCUCCUAAUGCCCUGGUAGCUCCUUGCAUUACUCUCCCAAUCUGAUGCGUAGGUUUGCAAGGCAGCCACAGUACUCACUGUUUGGAUGAUCUGUAAGGAGCGUAAUGGCCGCUUCUUUGAACCAUGCUGCACCUCUGUUCGGUAGGUUUUCAAGCGCCUGGUGGAUGAGGCAAAAGAAAUUGGUGAGAUGCGGGCCUUCUUGCCAAUGUGAUUAGAGACCCAAAUUAGAUGCUAUUAUAUUCAGCUUGAUCGAUGUUUAAUUCUUUAGUUUUGGGCCUGAUCUUUUCACUGCCCCUCUUAACCUUGUAAAUAACAUUUUGUUGUUUGUUUGCUCA